rnacentral:lncRNA from 1 species
GUGAAGCAAUGGCUGGCCUUUCUUUCUCUCUUUCUCUCUCAUCUGGUUUCCAAGGUUUAAAAGUUCACCUCCUUGAGGAAUGCCUUUAGCUCUAGCUAUUGCAAGCUUUU